GAGAGGGCGGCCCGCCACGCCCGGGAGCUGCGAGGGAGCGCGGCGCCACCCGGUCUUCCGGAGCGGCUCUCCGGGCGGGAGGGCGGCGGGCCCGGCCGGCGAGCAGCGACGACGCGGGCGGGUCGAUCAGCUGUUCAAGGGGAGGUUCAGCGCGCCGAGCCGGAAGGGAGGCGGGCAGGAAGGGCCGCGGCUCGGAGCCGCAACAGGAAGGAAGAAGGGAAUGAGGCAGGGCUGACGUGAAGGGAUGCAAAACAGCCCCUCCUAACCCGGCGCGGAGAGAGGGAGAAAGAGAAAGGCGCAGAGAGGAGGGAGAGCCGCCGCCGCCCUUUUAUCUCGCUUUUGUUGUCGCACUUCCUCUCGCUCCGGCCGCGCCAAGUUUUCUUUCUCCUGCCGCCCGGCUUCUCUCGCCCCUUUCGCCCCCGCGGGGGACCCGAGAGCCCCCUGGCUCUCCCCGGGCCAGAUGGAGCUCCGAGGGAGCCAAGCCUGGCCGCCUCCCGGUGAAGCAGGUGAGGAGGGACCCGGAGCUGGCCUGGCCCGGGAGACUCCUUAUCCCGGGCUCAGCCCGCCCGCCUCCACUUGGACGAGCCAAGGCUGCUGCCGGGCGCCCGGGAGGGGCCCGACCCGCCGCCCUCUUUCCUGCAGCCUCCGAGGCCGCUGGCUGGGCACAUGGAAGCCCUGAAAUAAGCGGCUGGGGUUAAAAAGGCCAAAGGUGGGCAGCCCCUAGGCAGCCCCUUUUCUUCUGGGCACAGGGUGGACCCAUUUGUACCAGUGGGUGGGGUGUUGUGAUUUGACAGGGACGACGAGGAAGACGUCAGGCUGUCCCUGCUUGUCCUGCAGGCCUUGGGUCGACACAUCAUGCUAUGCCUGCUUAGUGCUUUUUGUGGCCUGUGUGCGGGUAUGCUACAUGCACCCAGCCAUCAUGGUUUAUGGCACAAUCCGACCCGUCACUUGUGGUUUGUUCAUUAAAUCCACGUGCGUAGCAAAGAAGACCCUCUGCCCUUGCAAAAAAUGGCUUUCAUCUCUCAGAGUUCUUCCCCACGUCAGUUCCAAUUCAUCCCCAUUCUGAAACACAAAAAUGUAGCCCCAAAGAUUUAAAGCAGGAAGGGACUCCGGUUCCUCAUUAACAGCCCCCAGAGACCUCCUCACCCACCAGGACGCACCAUCCUCUGCCUGGAAUCUGCCACCCUCCGCACCCCGUGCACUGCCGCUAGUCAGGUCUUCUCAAGGAGCCUCAUUGUCCAGCACACCCUUGCGACAGUCAGAAGGAGCAGCUCUUCUUUCCACACAAGCCACGUUUCAAAAUGCCCACUCUGGGAAAAUCAGAACCCCAUCAUUCUGCCAAAUCAGCCUUCCGGGUUUACUGGCUGAUUUGUGAAACUGGCAAUCAUAGUCCAGAAGGUCUGCGGGCCUAGAAAUUUUCUCCCUUUUGCAGGAGAAAAAUGAGCUGUCAUGAAUGUGGCACAGAGAAAAGCCACAGCUGCAGCCCCACAAGCCCAUGAUGCCACCCUGAACCUUUUGUAGAUUUUCAGGCUCCCAACUUCGAUGAGGCAUGCGGAGCCCCCAAUAGCCAGCAUUAUCGGAUGAGUGUUCCCUUGUUUCCGGAAUAUUGGCUCAGCCAGUGCCAAGCAGUCACGGUCACAUCCAUCUUAGGCUGUCACUGGGUGCAUCAGCAGUUGAGAGCAAGGCAGAUGCCCUUAGGAACCCCUGAGAGGAGUCCAGGAGCACCACCACCUGCCUUUCAGAAGGCUUCCGCUUUGCACUCAAGCGUGCAAGAGCCCUGAGGUCAUCCAGUCCAGCCUUCUCUGGGCACCAGAAGGCUCCCGAUGGCAGGCAGGAGCCACCUUGCUCAUUCUCACCCCACAGCUUCUGCUUCAGGAGGGGCAACAGCUCUGUGGCCACAGAUGGGCCAUACGCUGUGAAACCGGCAUGUUCCCUUUCAGAGUCACCCACGUUGACUGCUGCUGUCAGAACUGUGGUACUCUGUAAAAUAACGUUUCCUGUGAUUGAUCUCCAGUCCCUUGCUCAAUUUCAGCCAGUGCCUGGGUGGUGUGGGAGAAAAGCCCACUUGAUGCGGCUUGGCAAUUUAAUAGGCCUCUGGUGCUGCUGUCCAAGCUAAUAGCCCCAAUUCCUACAAUCUUUGCUUCGUUCUUUCAGUGCCCUUUUUAAAGUAUUUCCUAAGUGCAUCACAUCCUCUUUAAUUCUCCUUAUUUCCUUCUAGGACAUAAACAUCUUAGGAGCUGUCAAAAUGCUGACCGAAGAGCCUUCUGUUGCCCCGUAAAUCACCCCCCCUCCUUCGCUAAUGGCCUCUUCCCUGACAGGCCUGUCCUCUUCCGCUGAGCUGCUUCCGAGGGAGGGAGGGAGGGAGGGAGCCCCUGCCGGCAUUUCCUGCUUGCAGUCGUGCCUGGCCAGGAGCAGGAUGUGAGCUGGCUGGUAGCUCAGCCGACAGGCUUCUGGAGGCAGAGGCAAGCUGGGCACCUUGACGGCCUGUGCGGGCCCAGCCUGGUGUGGCUGCCAGAACUGGAGUGGCUAAGGACAAGCUGCUAUCAGACCAUCUUGGGCAAUUUUAUUUAUUUAUUUAUUUGUAUAUGAUUUUGAUUAGAAUAUUAAAAGUUAAUACUUUCUUUGUACACAAAGAAAAACAAGAAAGUGCAAGAAAAAAAAUUAGAAAUAUAGUGAGGAAAGAGAAAAAUAUGUAAAGAAAUAACUCCCAAUCUUCAUCACACGCAUAGACAAAUUUAGUAACUCUGCAUGCCCUCCAAGAUUACAAAUAGAUAAGCCCUCAUCCCAUAUCCCUUAAUAAUAAGCAAAUCCAUAAAACAUCACUUUUCAAUCCUGGUAUCAGUAAAAAGUCCAUAAGAGGUGCAGGAACUAUGCAAAUUUCUUGUUUUAAUCUUUAAAAGAUUAAUUAAAUAAUUUAAUAAGCCAACUUUGUGCUCUUUCAUUUCUAACAGUUUUAAUCUUUAGUUCAUUCAAAUACUGAUGUAAAAUUUGAUUUAGAUUCUUUUUCCAACUACUAUUUCUUCAAGGGUUUAACAAGACUUUUGUAGAUUCAGAUCUUUCUUUUGGUUUGCCAUUUGUAUUUUACCUUUUUUUUUAACACUUCAGCUAGUGUCUUUUCUAUAGCCAAUAAACAUUUUUCCAAAAUAUUA